rnacentral:rRNA from 1 species
UGCUUGCUCGUAAGAGUAAGCUGUUUUUAUGUCUAAAAAGCAUAGAGAGUAAGGGCUGGGUAAGACGGGUGCCAGCCGCCGCGGUAAUACCUGCAGCUCAAGUGGUGACCACUAUUAUUGGGCCUAAAACGUUCGUAGCCGGUUUGGUAAAUGCCUGGGUAAAUCGUGUAGCUUAACUAUACGAAUUCCGGGUAGACUGUCAAACUUGAGACCGGGAGAAGCUAGAGGUACUCCUGGGGUAGAGGUGAAAUUCUGUAAUCCUGGGGGGACCACCAGUGGCGAAGGCGUCUAGCUAGAACGGGUUUGACGGUGAGGAACGAAGCCCUGGGGCGCAAACCGGAUUAGAUACCCGGGUAGUCCAGGGUGUAAACGCUGCUUGCUUGAUGUUAGUUGGGCUCCGAGCCCAAUUAGUGUCGGAGAGAAGUUGUUAAGCAAGCUGCCUGGGAAGUACGAUCGCAAGAUUGAAACUUAAAGGAAUUGUGCUUGCUCGACA